AGGGUUCGAUUCUGGCUCAGAAUGAACGCUGGCGGCAUGGCUAAGACAUGCAAGUCGAACGAACAUACUGAUUGGGUAACCGAGAGGUAUGUUAGUGGCGAAAGGGUGAGGAAUAGACAGGUAACGUACCCCGAACUUCAGGAUAGUGUCUCGAAAGGGGCGGUAAUACUGAAUGAUGUGCCUUGUGUAAUGCAGGGUAUCAAAGAUUUAUCGGUUUGGGAGCGGCCUGUUUCCUAUCAGCUAGUUGGUGAGGUAAUGGCUCACCAAGGCUACGACGGGUAGCGGGACUGAGAGGUUGGCCCGCCACAUCGGGACUGAGACACUGCCCGGACCUCCACGGAGGGCUGCAGUAACGAAUAUUGGGCAAUGGGCGAAAGCCUGACCCAGCAAAUGCCGCGUGUAGGAUGAAGCUCCUCGGAGUGUAAACUACUUUCAGGGAUUAGAAAGCUUCGGUUGAUCAAUCCCAGAAGAAGUCACGGCUAACUUCGUGCCAGCCGCCGC
rnacentral:rRNA from 1 species